NGGUACCGAGCUCGAAUUCACCAAGUGUUGGAUUGUUCACCCACCAAUAGGGAACGUGAGCUGGGUUUAGACCGUCGUGAGACAGGUU
rnacentral:rRNA from 16 species